rnacentral:rRNA from 1 species
CCUACGGGUGGCAGCAGUGAGGAAUAUUGGUCAAUGGACGCAAGUCUGAACCAGCCAUGCCGCGUGCAGGAUGACUGCUCUAUGAGUUGUAAACUUCUUUUGUACGAGGGUAAACCCCGAUACGUGUAUCUGUUUGCAAGUAUCUUACGAAUAAGGAUCGGCUAACUCCGUGCCAGCAGCCGCGGUAAUACGGAGGAUCCGAGCGUUAUCCGGAUUUAUUGGGUUUAAAGGGUGCGUAGGCGGUUUGAUAAGUUAGAGGUGAAAGGUUGGGGCUCAACCGCGAAACUGCCUCUGAUACUGUUAGACUAGAGAAUAGUUGCGGUAGGCGGAAUGUAUGGUGUAGCGGUGAAAUGCUUAGAGAUCAUACAGAACACCGAUUGCGAAGGCAGCUUACCAAACUAUGUCUGACGUUGAGGCACGAAAGCGUGGGUAGCAAACAGGAUUAGAUACCCGAGUAGUC